UACGGAGGGUGCGAGCGUUAAUCGGAAUGACUGGGCGUAAAGGGCACGUAGGCGGUUAAUUAAGUCAGAUGUGAAAUCCCCGGGCUCAACCUGGGAAUGGCAUUUGAAACUGGUUAGCUAGAGUCUCGUAGAGGGGGGUAGAAUUCCAGGUGUAGCGGUGAAAUGCGUAGAGAUCUGGAGGAAUACCGGUGGCGAAGGCGGUCUGCUGGGCAGUUUCUGACACUGAUGCGCGACAGCGUGGGGAGCAAACAGG
rnacentral:rRNA from 1 species